GGGGGGGGCAAGCGUUGUUCGGAAUUACUGGGCGUAAAGGGUCUGUAGGUGGUCUGCUAAGUCAGACGUGAAAUCCCUCAGCUUAACUGGGGAACUGCGUCUGAUACUGGCGGACUUGAGGGCAGGAGAGGAACGCGGAAUUCCAGGUGUAGCGGUGAAAUGCGUAGAUAUCUGGAGGAACACCGGUGGCGAAGGCGGCGUUCUGGACUGUUUCUGACACUGAUAGACGAAAGCCAGGGGAGCAAACGGGAUUAGAUACCCCGGUAGUCCUGGCCCUAAACGAUGAAUGCUUGGUGUGGCGGGUAUCGAUCCCUGCCGUGCCGGAGUUAACGCGUUAAGCAUUCCGCCUGGGGAGUACGGUCGCAAGGCUG
rnacentral:rRNA from 1 species